CGUGUAGGCGGAUCCAGAAGUCGGGUGUGAAAGCCCUGGGCUUAACCCAGGAAGUGCGCCCGAAACCAUGGGUCUUGAGGUCCGGAGGGGAUCGGGGAAUUCCCAGUGUAGAGGUGAAAUUCGUAGAUAUUGGGAGGAACACCGGUGGCGAAGGCGCCGAUCUGGACGGAUUCUGACGCUGAGACGCGAAAGCGUGGGUAGCAAACAG
rnacentral:rRNA from 1 species